rnacentral:rRNA from 1 species
ACUCCUACGGGAGGCAGCAGUGGGGAAUAUUGGACAAUGGGCGCAAGCCUGAUCCAGCCAUGCCGCGUGAGUGAUGAAGGCCCUAGGGUUGUAAAGCUCUUUCACCGGUGAAGAUAAUGACGGUAACCGGAGAAGAAGCCCCGGCUAACUUCGUGCCAGCAGCCGCGGUAAUACGAAGGGGGCUAGCGUUGUUCGGAUUUACUGGGCGUAAAGCGCACGUGGCGGACUAUUAAGUCAGGGGUGAAAUCCCGGGGCUCAACCCCGGAACUGCCUUUGAUACUGGUAGUCUUGAGUUCGAGAGAGGUGAGUGGAAUUCCGAGGGUAGAGGUGAAAUUCGUAGAUAUUCGGAGGAACACCAGUGGCGAAGGCGGCUCACUGGCUCGAUACUGACGCUGAGGUGCGAAAGCGUGGGGAGCAAACAGGAUUAGAAACCCUUGUAGUC